rnacentral:sRNA from 1 species
CUGGGUACCCCUUCCUGAUGAUCCCGGACCUGAGCAGCCCGUACCUCUCCAACGGACCCCUGUCUCCCGGAGGAGCGCGCACAAGGGAGUCUUGCUCUGUCGCCCAGGCUGGAGUGCAGUGACGCGAUCUUGGCUUACUGCAAGCUCCGCCUCCCGGGUUCACGCCAUUCUCCCACCUCAGCCUCUGAGUAGCUGGGACUACAGGCGCCCGCCACCACACCCGGCUAAUUUUGGUGCAUGCAUUUCUAUUUGUAUUUCUUGUUUGCCGUUUUUUCCAGUGUCCUUGGUUAAAGUUUUCAGCUAAGUACUUACCUUUAUAGUCAGAGAUAACGCCUACUCUACACCUGCAAGUAUCAUUCUCCCACCGUACCUUUUCUUCUGGCUGAUUCCAGCAAUGUGGGACUGGCUGGGGGGUAAGGGGCUAGCACAUGGUACAAGACCAGCUCCCAAGAGCAAGUGUUGGGUGCAACCACUAUGGAAAACAGUAUAGAGGUUCCUCAAAAAACAAAAAAUUAAUUAAAAAUUAAAGAAUUAUA